ACGCAGGAGUGUGACCAACUGCGUUGCUCUCCGGCGUAGGUGAGCACACUGGGGGUCUCUAAAGAAGGGUCUGCCUUCUGCCGACAGCCGCCAACGCCUUAGACUGUCCCUGACCUUCAGACCUCAGACUCUUGCAUUUGCUUUUGAAGUUGGACAUGUUACUGAAAACUGUGGAAGGAUCAGCGAGCAGCAGAGUACAAUCAACAGAGGACGCCAAGCACCUUAUUUGAGGGCACAGCAGAUCCACGAAAUUCCCAGAACACGACUAUAAAAUUCACACCGGCCAGAUGGGGAGAAGAGUGGCUCGAGGAGGCACUUCCCUUCUGUAAACAAAGCCUAAACUGGAGAAAAGAACUCUGGAGACACUGACCCCAGUUUCAACUGAUGCACAAGGAAUCAUUCCCUCUAUUGGAUUUUCUUAUAUGAAAUCUAAGGAUUCAAGCAAGAAGCAUAACAGUCAGAAAACCUGGUAUUCCCCAUGCGACAGCAUGAAACCACACCGCUUUUUGUUCAAUGGCUUCACAACUCCAUUUUCUUCCUGCAGCUAAGAACCAAGUAAUGAUAAAGAAACAAAAAUGCAGACACAACUUCCUUCCCAACUUUAUCAUGUGAAGUCUCAUUAUGUCAGUAGAAUAUUUCAAAUUAUGAUCCCCCAAUGUCUACAGGAGACAAAAGUAAUGAAGGUCAAUGUGCACAAAGAAUACACUUUCUCACAAGACUUACGACAAGGUGGGACCACACGAAUUUGUUCGGUGCAGGUUGGUACAAAAGCUUUGCAAAGGAAAGUUUCAACGUUUGGAGAACAUUCCAAAUUUGCAAGAGGAAGAAAAAGCUAUUAAGAAAAACAACAAAAUAAGGUUCCUCACUAAAAUUAUAAUGAAGAAUAAAAGGUUCUAACCCACUAGUAAGUGCACAGGAGAGACUACAUUAGCAUAUCUGACUUUUCCAAAGGAUAAAAACCAACAGAAAAGAAAGCCCCAACCUUUCCAAGACAGAACGCUAUCAGAGGAGUGAAAAGUGAUUUAAUGGGAUACGGGCGGGCUAUGAAGCAGGAGGGGAGGGAUUCAGAUGACAAUGAAUGGAUGCACCCUAAAGAACUUGAGAGUCUCAGUUCCUUGAAGUACCAAGUAGCACAGAAGGCCAAUACUGUAGGAAUGUUUACUAAUCAAUUUCUCUCCAUGCCCUCCCAACUCUAACCC